rnacentral:rRNA from 1 species
ACUCCUACGGGAGGCAGCAGUGGGAAGUAUUGCACAAUGGGGGAAACCCUGAUGCAGCCAUGCCGCGUGUGUGAAGAAGGCCUUGGGUUGUAAAGCACUUUCAGUAGGGAGGAAGGUAGUGUAGUUAACACCUGCAUUAUUUGACGUUACCUACAGAAGAAGCACCGGCUAACUCCGUGCCAGCAGCCGCGGUAAUACGGAGGGUGCGAGCGUUAAUCGGAAUUACUGGGCGUAAAGCGCAUGCAGGCGGCCUGUUAAGUCAGAUGUGAAAGCCCGGGGUCUUAACCUCGGAAUUGCAUUUGAAACUGGCAGGCUAGAGUCUUGUAGAGGGGUUAGAAUUUCAGGUGUAGCGGUGAAAUGCGUAGAGAUC